UAAGCAAUUAACUCAAUUGGUAGAGUACUUUACUUACAAUAAAUUAGUUAAUGGUUCGAGUCCAUUAUUGCUUAU
rnacentral:tRNA from 1 species